CACAGAAUAUUGGUGACAUGCAUGGUGAUGGUGAUCAGCAUUGCGAGUAUGUAGCCAUUUUGCGGAAGUGCUUUGCAUUUUGGUUGGAAACGUUGGAUAUUGGUUUCUUUUUAUGAUGACUGGCAUGUUGAAAUGUUUUAGCUGUUGUUAUUGAUAAAAAAAUGAAAUAUGACUGACAGAAGUUCACUUCGCUCAGCUGCGUUUUGCGUUGGAGUUUUCACUGCAGUGGUGGUGACAUUACAAGUUUACUACCUGCUUGUGGAUGAAGAAAAUGCUGUUCAGUUCUCUGAUCAUACGACAAGUAGAGAUGGUUCAGAUAACAUGAAUCAUGAUGAUACACUGGCAAGAAAGUAUGCUUACUCCAGUAUGGAGGACAUACUUGAAAAUGGUGAAAAUUUUAUUAAUGGUUGGUAAUUAAUUGCUGAAUCAUAGCUAGAC